rnacentral:tRNA from 1 species
GGGAUUGUGGCUCCGUGGUAGAGCUCUCACCUAGUAUGUGGGAGACCUGGGUUCAAUCCUCAGCACCA